GAUGAACGCUGGCGGCGUGCUUAAUACAUGCAAGUCGAACGGAGAGCUAGCAAUGGUUCUUAGUGGCGAACGGGUGAGUAACGCGUUGGUGAUCUACCCCGAAGAGAGGGAUAACAGUUCGAAAGGACUGCUAAUACCCCAUGUGGUCAUAGAGGUUAGAGGCUUUAUGACUGAAGGAGAAAUCCGCUUCGGGAUGAGCCUGCGUCCCAUCAGCUAGUUGGUAGGGUAAAGGCCUACCAAGGCUAAGACGGGUAGGGGGCCUGAGAGGGUGACCCCCCACAUUGGCACUGAAACACGGGCCAAACACCUACGGGUGGCAG
rnacentral:rRNA from 1 species